GUUUAGAGGAAUUGGUCAUCCAAGAAUUCGUCAAGGUCUGGGUCACUUCGAGCAAACAGCUUUGGAGAAAGCCAUGUGGGAUGUCUGAAAAAGAAACAGUAAUCCAUAAUUUCUAGCUAGUCCUUGUAAUGAGUUUCUCUAAUUGCCCUUUUUUCAAAAGAAGAUUUUUGCUUCUCCUUUUUUUUGUUUUAAUAGAUGUAUUGAUGUCAGCAGUCAGC
rnacentral:misc_RNA from 1 species